GAGCUGUAGGAGCUUAGGUGGUGUGUGGCUGGCUCAUGGAAUUACAGAACCCUGGACAGGGCAGUGCUGCUGGAAGCUGGGGAGAGUGAGAAGGAGCCAUGAGCUGGUUGCUGGGACUCCAUUAGGACAAGGCCCUGAGAAGUGCCUAGAGGCUCCACCAUGCUGGGAGCUGCACAUAUACAAAGUAAGAAACAACUCCAACCUCAGAACGCUCACAUUCUAAACAACCAACCAGACAUAGGAUGGGAGUGGAACAAGAGGUCCAAAAGAGGUGAAGUGAACUUGCCCAAGGCCAGUUCCCAAGAUUUCACUCACACACGACUUCCUGUGCCAGCCAGAGAGAAUGAGCCUGGAGAAGAGACAAGAUAAAUUAAAACCAGGGCCAAAAGGAAAAAGGAUUUGCCAGUGUCUUGUUCUCAUUAUUCACUACGGUCCAAACACCUAGGCAAAUGUUCGGCCUGAGUAGCUGAGUAUCUCCACAGCCGGGUGAGUUGAAAGGAAUCCUCUCUGUUAUGCUACUGAGCUUGUCUGGAGCUGUCUAACAGAGGAACUCUACAUGGGGCUUAAGUCAACCUGCAACUUGAGAGGAGAGCACAAUGAGUUGGCCUGCUUGGCAGAUGGUCUUUGCCAAGAGCACAUGGCAUCUGUGCUCUGAGAUCUGCACUGGCUGCCUCUUAUUCUCAAGUGGACUUUAAGACAUCAGUGUUUAACCUAUAGAGCCCUCAUUGGAUUAGGUUCUACUUUGUUAAAAAUCUGACUCUCCCCCGUGCAAGACGGCCUCAGGCAUGCUCAGCAGGGAAGCCGGGCCUGCACCCCGCCAUUUCAUAAUCAAGAGGGCACUGCCUGCCAAGCAUUCUCUGCAAGAGGCCCUCGACUUUGGAACCAACUCCCCUGCCCAGUUAACCUGAAAGCUGUUGUCUUUCAGAGCUCUGCCCAGGCCUCUCUCUUUUCCCAUGUUUCUGGGGAGCGAGGGCUUGAAAUAAGGGUUGGUGUUUGUGAUAACGGGGGGACUUGAUUGGGUUUUGAUUCUAGCUUUGGUUUAAUAUUUUCUGGUUUGGGGAAAGGAGCAGGCCGCAGCUUCGGGCUCUUUAAUGGGACUCGUUUUAAUUGAUGGCAAAGAUGCCUAGAGCCUAGGAUCAGUGCCUUUGGGGGGGAGGAGGAGGAGGGGUAGAACAAAGAGGAAUAAUGUACCAGCCUAAGUUAUAUGAUGGGGGGCCUUGGAAAUUAACAACAGAAGGUCUUCAUAAUACUGAAUGCCUAGUUCCUGCCCAUCCCUGGUGCACUGCUGCAGAGUGGUGGUACACACCAUGUCAGUGGCUGCACGCACACCCCCCAUCUGCCGUCCCCCUCACUUAAAUUCUGGUCCCUUGCACAACCAAGCUACACUGAUUCUACUGCCAGCUAUGCAGGAAUGCAGCCAAUGGCCAGGUCCUUCUGAGCUGUGCAGGCAUCCAGUUGCACUUGUGUGUGUGUACGUUUUAACACGUGCAGUUCUGAAAAUCUUGACCAUAAGCUAUUCCUAGCUGGGCAAGUCUUCAGGUGUGCAGCCUGGAUGCCUUUGCCAGUUGCACUACUUUGAACUUCAGCGAGCUCAAUGGAUACAAAGAUGAAACUAUAAGCUGAUCUCAAAUGGCACAUUAUAUCCACUGCAACCAAAGAUACCGGCCUAAUAAUGGGCUAUUGAUUACUUGCUCAGCAGAGUUCUUGUGAACAGAAGCUCACUCCAAGGAUUUGUGUUUCCACCUCCAAGAAGUCAGCAAUAAGAUGGGGUGUGAAAUAGAAACGUAGCUAUGAUUCGUGCCUGGCCCUGGCACAACCCUGCACAUAUCUGCAUUGUAAUCCGUGACCCACACUCCUAAAUGAGAGAGAAAAAUUAACAUUUCAGACAAAUCCAUGAGAGAACUGCACUUGUGGCUGAUUUUGUGGUAUGUGGAGGGAUGAGUGCUAGUUACUUUUGCCUUUCUAAUGCAGCUGAUGAGGAUUGAGAUAGAGAGCAAUUAUCACACUUGUUUACACUCCAGAGCUAAAAUCCAGCAAAAAUGAGUGACAUAGAAGCAGAAUAGAGGAGACACAAACAGUUACGUCACACCCUUCCCUCCUAACGUUUUUAAAGCAUGCAGUGCAUUAGCUGUGUGAUUCCCAUUAAAAUCAACAGGGGUUGGGCAUCUAAAACCAUGCAGAUUUUGAGCAUAUUUAACCACUUAUGCAAAAGAAAACCAACAAACCCCUGUUCUUUGAAUGCAUCCGCAUACAUGGGCACAAACGAUUUUGCUCCCUCUGAAUUUCAUAACACGCAAAUUAAACUCUCUGGAAGAUGUGCAUAAGAUAAAUAUAGAGAAGAGAGCAUCUCAGCUAAUUAAACUAUUGGCAAGGUGAACUGCUGAAAGUUUAAUUAGCUGACUUCUGUGCAUCUCUCCGGAUGUUCCUGCUGCAAGGGGGUUUAAUAUAAAAUCAGCUUGAAUUGGAUCUGAUUUUUUGAUAUAUGGCAAUGCAAUGAGAUGACCAGUCUUCUACCUUUUACUAGGAAAGGCAUGUGGUCACAAGCAGCAAAAGAGAUAAUGUGGUCAUUCUGUCAGACCUCGGGGUGGAGGGGAAAAUUCUGAGUGUGCAUGAUUUUACAUAACAGAUACCAGGUUAAACCCUGGAGCUGGUUUCAUCGGUCAUCCAGGAACGUUCAGCCGAGUAAUCCAAAUGCUCAUUUAGCUCCAGAUUCCAAUGCCAGUUUAACGGAGAGCGUGGCUUGUGUGGCGACAAUAAUGGACUGGUCCAUUGGUAAUGACCCUAAGUAAAACAAAUACACAUGAAUAAAAUAAAACAAAACCCAAACAGAUUUUGCUUGGGGCACGUUGAACUUCUCUGGCUCGUGUUACGAGGGAGGUCAGACUA